GGAAGGAUCAUUAACACUGAACCCUUUUUUUCUCCCUCUCAAACCCUUCACGGGGCGCGAGAGGGGAAAAAAUUUACACCCUGUGGUCCCGUUCCGUCCCUUGCUCCUGUUGCUUCUCGGACCUUCGGGUUGGUCGCACUCGCUCAUUGGUGGUGAAGAGCGGUUAGGAGACUUGGGCGUUGACAUUUAUCCUCUCCACCGAUUUUUCCCCUUACACUCCCUUUACCUUUGAUCUGAAUCCCUCGGGUUGUGCUAACACAGGUGCCUUCACUGGCUCUGUCGUUGCGCCCCGUUAUGAGUAACAAACGAUACAACUGUUAACAAUGGAUAUCUUGGCUCUUGCAACGAUGAAGAACGCAGCGAACUGCGAUACGUAAUGUGAAUUGCAGAACUCCGUGAAUCAUCAAAUCUUUGAACGCAAGUUGCGCUUCUGGGGUUACACCUGGGAGCAUGCCUGUUUGAGUGUUAUCAACUAAUCUCAUAAAGCCUUCCCGUUUGCUCGGGACAGUGCCGCAUGGAGAGUGAGAGUCUGGGGUUGGCACUCCGGUGCACCGCUUCAGUCUUUUGAAAUGCAUGGACAGAGUGUCAUUUGGAGUCGGUGGCCCAGACGGUUACUGUCUCUUGCUCUUUCGACGUGGUAGUUCCUUGCGAAUACUUCGUUUCGACAGGCGAGAGGUUCACAGUCCGUCUACCAGUGGUGCCGGCUAUCCGCACUGUCUUGUCCUUCAGACUAAAGAAAAAACUUGUUUUUUUUUCCUUAGCAUAACCUCAAAUCAGGUAAGACUACCCGCUGAAUUUAAGCAUAUUAAUAAGCGGAGGAAAAGAAACUAACUAGGAUUCCCCCAGUAAUGGCGAAUGAAGAGGGAAGAGCUCAAGCCUAAAUCGGGAAGCUUCGUUUUCCGAAUUGUAGUCUAUGGAUCCAGAUUCUGACAGGGCCCAGGUGGAAGUCUCUUUGGAACAAGGUAUCAUAGAGGGUGAGAAUCCCGUAUGUAUCUUGGUGCCCCCUGUCUGUAUAGUCUGAGGUCCGCGAGUCGAGCUGUUUGGGAUUGCAGUUCUAAAUGGGUGGUAAAUUCCAUCUAAAGCUAAAUAGCGGCAAGAGACCGAUAGCGAACAAGUAGCGUGAGCGAAAGAUGAAAAGAACUUUGAAAAGAGAGUUAAACAGUACUUGAAAUUGUUAACAGGUAAACGAUUGUAAUCAGUGUUCACGGUCACAGUGGCGCUCAGGGCGGUCGAAUGGUCGGAUCGGGUCAGCGUAAGCGGCACGGCACGGCCAGAGAAGCCGAAACAGGGGUCACGCCACAUGGCUGUGGGUCAACAUCAGUUUCAUGCUACUCGGCAAAAAAGCUGGCGGGAAGGUAGCUCUGUUAGCUCUCGGGCUUCCGGAGUGUUAAGACCACCAGUGGAUACCGGUAGAGAGACUGAGGACUCGGAAGUUCACGUCGAAAGACUGGGUUAGCCUCGUCCCUGCGUGGUCAGUGGGAGCCUACAGAUAUCUGUGGGAGCCUGCGGCUGUGUACAAGCGGGUGCGCCGCAUGUGAGCUAAAGAUGUUGACAAAAUGGUUAUAACCGACCCGUCUUGAAACACGGACCAAGGAGUCUAACGUAUGUGCGAGUGUUAGGGUGGUAAACCCAUAACGCGCAAUGAAAGUAAAGGCAGCCUCCGGGCCGCUGACGUCGGAAGGUGUCGCCUAGGCACCUGCACGAUGGGCCGACCAUGAUCUUCGCGAGAAAGGUUUUGAGCAAGAGCACAUCCGUCGGGACCCGAAAGAUGGUGAACUAUGCCUGAGUAGAGUGAGGCCAGAGGAAAACUCUGGUGGAAGCUCGUAGCGGUACUGACGUGCAAAUCGUUCGUCAAACUUGGGUAUAGGGGCGAAAGACUAAUCGAACCAUCUAGUAGCUGGUUCCCUC
rnacentral:misc_RNA from 1 species